rnacentral:rRNA from 1 species
UACGGAGGGUGCAAGCGUUAAUCGGCAUUACUGGGCGUAAAGCGCACGCAGGUGGCUGAGUCAGUCGGAUGUGAAAGCCCUGGGCUUAACCUGGGAAUUGCAUUCGAUACUACUCAGCUAGAGUAUGGGAGAGGGAAGUGGAAUUCCCGGUGUAGCGGUGAAAUGCGUAGAUAUCGGGAGGAACAUCAGUGGCGAAGGCGGCUUCCUGGCACAAUACUGACGCUCAGGUGCGACAGCGUGGGGAGCAAACAGG